rnacentral:rRNA from 1 species
GGGUUGUGAGGUUAAGCGACUAAGCGUACACGGUGGAUGCCCUGGCAGUCAGAGGCGAUGAAGGACGUGCUAAUCUGCGAUAAGCGUCGGUAAGGUGAUAUGAACCGUUAUAACCGGCGAUUUCCGAAUGGGGAAACCCAGUGUGAUUCGUCACACUAUCAUUAACUGAAUCCAUAGGUUAAUGAGGCGAACCGGGGGAACUGAAACAUCUAAGUACCCCGAGGAAAAGAAAUCAACCGAGAUUCCCCCAGUAGCGGCGAGCGAACGGGGAGCAGCCCAGAGCCUGAAUCAGUGUGUGUGUUAGUGGAAGCGUCUGGAAAGGCGCGCGAUACAGGGUGACAGCCCCGUACACAAAAAUGCACAUACUGUGAGCUCGAUGAGUAGGGCGGGACACGUGGUAUCCUGUCUGAAUAUGGGGGGACCAUCCUCCAAGGCUAAAUACUCCUGACUGACCGAUAGUGAACCAGUACCGUGAGGGAAAGGCGAAAAGAACCCCGGCGAGGGGAGUGAAAAAGAACCUGAAACCGUGUACGUACAAGCAGUGGGAGCACAGAGCAAUCUGUGUGACUGCGUACCUUUUGUAUAAUGGGUCAGCGACUUAUAUUCUGUAGCAAGGUUAACCGAAUAGGGGAGCCGAAGGGAAACCGAGUCUUAACUGGGCGUUAAGUUGCAGGGUAUAGACCCGAAACCCGGUGAUCUAGCCAUGGGCAGGUUGAAGGUUGGGUAACACUAACUGGAGGACCGAACCGACUAAUGUUGAAAAAUUAGCGGAUGACUUGUGGCUGGGGGUGAAAGGCCAAUCAAACCGGGAGAUAGCUGGUUCUCCCCGAAAGCUAUUUAGGUAGCGCCUCGUGAAUUCAUCUCCGGGGGUAGAGCACUGUUUCGGCAAGGGGGUCAUCCCGACUUACCAACCCGAUGCAAACUGCGAAUACCGGAGAAUGUUAUCACGGGAGACACACGGCGGGUGCUAACGUCCGUCGUGAAGAGGGAAACAACCCAGACCGCCAGCUAAGGUCCCAAAGUCAUGGUUAAGUGGGAAACGAUGUGGGAAGGCCCAGACAGCCAGGAUGUUGGCUUAGAAGCAGCCAUCAUUUAAAGAAAGCGUAAUAGCUCACUGGUCGAGUCGGCCUGCGCGGAAGAUGUAACGGGGCUAAACCAUGCACCGAAGCUGCGGCAGCGACGCUUAUGCGUUGUUGGGUAGGGGAGCGUUCUGUAAGCCUGCGAAGGUGUGCUGUGAGGCAUGCUGGAGGUAUCAGAAGUGCGAAUGCUGACAUAAGUAACGAUAAAGCGGGUGAAAAGCCCGCUCGCCGGAAGACCAAGGGUUCCUGUCCAACGUUAAUCGGGGCAGGGUGAGUCGACCCCUAAGGCGAGGCCGAAAGGCGUAGUCGAUGGGAAACAGGUUAAUAUUCCUGUACUUGGUGUUACUGCGAAGGGGGGACGGAGAAGGCUAUGUUGGCCGGGCGACGGUUGUCCCGGUUUAAGCGUGUAGGCUGGUUUUCCAGGCAAAUCCGGAAAAUCAAGGCUGAGGCGUGAUGACGAGGCACUACGGUGCUGAAGCAACAAAUGCCCUGCUUCCAGGAAAAGCCUCUAAGCAUCAGGUAACAUCAAAUCGUACCCCAAACCGACACAGGUGGUCAGGUAGAGAAUACCAAGGCGCUUGAGAGAACUCGGGUGAAGGAACUAGGCAAAAUGGUGCCGUAACUUCGGGAGAAGGCACGCUGAUAUGUAGGUGAAGUCCCUCGCGGAUGGAGCUGAAAUCAGUCGAAGAUACCAGCUGGCUGCAACUGUUUAUUAAAAACACAGCACUGUGCAAACACGAAAGUGGACGUAUACGGUGUGACGCCUGCCCGGUGCCGGAAGGUUAAUUGAUGGGGUCAGCGCAAGCGAAGCUCUUGAUCGAAGCCCCGGUAAACGGCGGCCGUAACUAUAACGGUCCUAAGGUAGCGAAAUUCCUUGUCGGGUAAGUUCCGACCUGCACGAAUGGCGUAAUGAUGGCCAGGCUGUCUCCACCCGAGACUCAGUGAAAUUGAACUCGCUGUGAAGAUGCAGUGUACCCGCGGCAAGACGGAAAGACCCCGUGAACCUUUACUAUAGCUUGACACUGAACAUUGAGCCUUGAUGUGUAGGAUAGGUGGGAGGCUUUGAAGUGUGGACGCCAGUCUGCAUGGAGCCGACCUUGAAAUACCACCCUUUAAUGUUUGAUGUUCUAACGUUGACCCGUAAUCCGGGUUGCGGACAGUGUCUGGUGGGUAGUUUGACUGGGGCGGUCUCCUCCUAAAGAGUAACGGAGGAGCACGAAGGUUGGCUAAUCCUGGUCGGACAUCAGGAGGUUAGUGCAAUGGCAUAAGCCAGCUUGACUGCGAGCGUGACGGCGCGAGCAGGUGCGAAAGCAGGUCAUAGUGAUCCGGUGGUUCUGAAUGGAAGGGCCAUCGCUCAACGGAUAAAAGGUACUCCGGGGAUAACAGGCUGAUACCGCCCAAGAGUUCAUAUCGACGGCGGUGUUUGGCACCUCGAUGUCGGCUCAUCACAUCCUGGGGCUGAAGUAGGUCCCAAGGGUAUGGCUGUUCGCCAUUUAAAGUGGUACGCGAGCUGGGUUUAGAACGUCGUGAGACAGUUCGGUCCCUAUCUGCCGUGGGCGCUGGAGAAUUGAGGGGGGCUGCUCCUAGUACGAGAGGACCGGAGUGGACGCAUCACUGGUGUUCGGGUUGUCAUGCCAAUGGCACUGCCCGGUAGCUAAAUGCGGAAGAGAUAAGUGCUGAAAGCAUCUAAGCACGAAACUUGCCCCGAGAUGAGUUCUCCCUGACUCCUUGAGAGUCCUGAAGGAACGUUGAAGACGACGACGUUGAUAGGCCGGGUGUGUAAGCGCAGCGAUGCGUUGAGCUAACCGGUACUAAUGAACCGUGAGGCUUAACCUUACAACGCCGAAG